rnacentral:rRNA from 1 species
UACGAAGGGGGCUAGCGUUGCUCGGAAUGACUGGGCGUAAAGGGCGCGUAGGCGGAUGGCACAGUCAGAUGUGAAAUUCCCGGGCUUAACCUGGGGGGCUGCAUUUGAUACGUGUGAUCUAGAGUGAGGAAGAGGGUCGUGGAAUUCCCAGUGUAGAGGUGAAAUUCGUAGAUAUUGGGAAGAACACCGGUGGCGAAGGCGGCGACCUGGUCCUUGACUGACGCUGAGGCGCGAAAGCGUGGGGAGCAAACAGG